CACAAUGAGGGACAAAAAUUGAACAGCAAAGCCAGGACGAAAUUUCAUCACCUCUUUCAUUUCCCAAAGCCCCAGAAUUCCCUCUCUCUCUCUCUCAUGUGAUAUGUAUUGCUGGAUCUGACACCCAUGAUUGUUGGGUCUGAAGUGUAAUCCUCAAAGGUUCUCAAGUCUCAAUGACCGUAUCUUACAAACUGAGGUUUCAAAGUCCUAGACAUUCUAAAUUUGCAAACUCCCCAAUUCAUUUCUAUCACGUGCAGGUGCAGCGGUGGAGGAAUAAUCAAAUUCUCAUAUAUAUCUUCUUAUCUGUGGGCAAAGUAGAAAGAGGCUUAGAAAAAGCUAGGUUUUCAGUCACUUCUAUGAUGUAUUUAUUUUUAGGUUAAUUCAAC
rnacentral:lncRNA from 1 species